rnacentral:rRNA from 1 species
AAUUGCGGGGGCCGGCCNAACCGGUGGAGCAUGGGGUUUUAAUNNAAUNGCAANGCGCAGACCCUNACCUGGGCUUUGAACNUGUAGUGGCCAAUCCUAGAAAUAGGAUNUUCUUCUUCGGAGANUGUACGGNAGGUGNUGCANGGCUGUCGUCAGCUNGUGUNGUGAGAUGUUGGGUUAAGUCCCGCANCGAGCGCAACCCCUAUCCNUUAGUUGCUAACGGGUGAGGCCGAGAACUCUAAGGAGACUGCCCUGGAAAUCGGGGAGGAAGGUGGGGAUGACGUCAAGUCCUCAUGGCCUUUAUGUCCAGGGCUACACACGUGCUACAAUGGAUGGUACAAAGGGUCGCGAAACCGCGAGGUCGAGCUAAUCCCAAAAAGCCAUCCUCAGUUNGGAUUGCAGUCUGCAACUCGACUGCAUGAAGCUGGAAUCGCUAGUAAUCCCGGAUCAGCAUGCCGGGGUGAAUACGUUCCCGGGCCUUGUACACACCGCCCGUCACAUCACGAAAGUUGGCUGUNCCGGAAGUCGGUGGGCUAACCCGCAAGGGANACAGCUGCCCAUGGUAUGGUUGGCGAUUGGGGUGAAGUCGUAACAAGGUAGCCG